GACGAGGUGGCCGAGUGGUUAAGGUGAUGGACUGCUAAUCCAUUGCUUCUGCGGAAGGUGUUUUACUCGCACGCUCUGAUCG
rnacentral:tRNA from 1 species